UGGCCCCCUCAAAUAUGGCAGAAGCAGAGAGAAAGAGUUUUCCUGGAAAAGGAAAUUGCACUUAAAACUGAAAGCGGAACAUAAACACCAGGGGAAAUGACACUGGACAGGCUCUGAAAGAAAACACUUCUGGGAAGGCUAUUCCAGCAGGCCCCAGCUUCCUUCGUAGAGGAUGAUUUUAGUUAAUAAGGUAAACCCGUAGGACUAUUAACCAUGUUAACAUCACUGGGAAGAUGACUGGUGAGCAGCACAGAGUUGGAAAAGCAAUCUAAAAUGCAACAGGUGGAAAGCAUUGGUGUGGUGGCAGAUGAAAUGCAGAAUGUUUACUGCAAAGAAACCAUCCUAAAAGCCCACAUCAUUAAAUGUAAUGGGGUGCAGCAAACAUAUGAGGUACAGCCUCGCAGAUUCAGCAGCUUCUUCAACAAAUCCCAGACAGACAGAGAGCGUCUUCUUGGGGUGGUGGCCCUUUUAAUGUGUGUGUGUGUGUGUGUGUGUGUGUGUGUGUGUGUGUGUGUGUGUGUGUGUGUGUGUGUGUGUGUGUGUGUGUGUGUAAAUCCUUUUAACGGACAUCAAACAAUUGAAGGAAACAUCUGGGACAGAACAUUGGGCAUCGCUGCGUGCCAGGAGUCAGAACACACCUCUUCCAAAGACGGCGACGGAUGGAGAACUGUGAACGCAAAACCUCCCGUCCCCAACAGCAAGGGAGAAGAGAGGGCUGUCUUUCUGUCCAAGAAGCCAUGCGUCGCAAAAGUGUUCGGGCGAGUAGACUGGUCCGCCAAGUACGGUGGCAAUCAUAACCGCUAGCAGGUAGCCUUAGGAUGCUACACUCAGAGGUUGAGGGGAGAGGUCCUCUUCCAUAUGCACUAUGAUGAAUAAACGCACAGAAAAUUCUUGA